rnacentral:hammerhead_ribozyme from 1 species
AUGCAGCUGACGAGUCCAAAAUAGGGCGAAAUGUGCAUUUUGGAU